UAAGAAAUUAAAUAUUGUAUGCAUUCACUGAAUGAAGGUUAGACAGAACACCACGUGAUUUCUGUACUGCAAAUGUUAUAAAGAAUCAUCUUGCUUUUAUUACCAUAAUCAUACCUCCCGAUUUUAAACGAGACACCUAACAUUUAAUUGACUAACUGCGCUCCAAAUCUGUGUGUGUAUAUGUGUGUGUAGAUGUGUGUGUGCGUGUGUGUGUGUGUGUGUCUUUCUGAUCACGUUCGCGCCACUUUCUGAAAUAACAGGUUCAUACAGUAUUUUUUGCAUUCUGGCAAAGAGCGAGUAAGAAGGCAUUUGAACCUGCAACGCAACGGACACACGGCCAUUCCAUGUCGGAGGAUCGCUCUGGUUACAUCGAGGAAAACCACAACAAUCCGAUGCAGAUGCAGGGCACUAUCCCUGAUCACACUGCUGAUCAAGAAGAUCUCACUGCAUGUAUCCCUCAGAACCAGAUGUCUCAGGACUUGAUAUGCCAGUGCAGCUGACCUUGAGAGUUCACUAGCUUUACCUGCAACGCCUCGUCUGAUACUUCUUGGAGAAACAGGAAACCACUUCCAACGCUGGAUGCUGAGCAUUGAGGGCCAGAUUGUGGGCGAAGGGAUCCAGUCGACCUUUGUGACAGGGCUGGCGUCUUUUUUCUCCGGUUUUUAUAUCUUCAACCUACAGUACCAAGAGGAGGCAGCGUGCACACUUGAAUCCAUCCAGAGACGCUUUGUGGGUAUAAACCCAGAAAAGGGGACAAAGGCUGCAAAGGGGAAAAAAAGAACGGUAAAUUCACACAUCGCCAGCCUCUUGCGCAGACUGAUGGACUUCCAGUGGGAUUUCAUUUCAAAAAGGUGAGAUAGAUACAUACAUUCAUGCUCUUUGCCAUUGUUUCAAUAAAUUUUACUUUUCAGACGUUCUAUUAUUUAUGUCUCUCUCUCUCUCUCUCUCUUUCAGUGGAGGUGUGUUCAGGU